rnacentral:ncRNA from 2 species
UGAAUAUAAAAGUCUUAUGGACCGAAAGGUUAAAAGGGAAGACGGGUGAAAAUCCCGCGCAGCCCCCGCUACUGUAAGUGAAGAUAAAACCCUAUAAGCACUACCUAAGUUUUUAGGUGGGAAGGCAGGGUGGAAGAUGAAUCACAAGCCAGGAGACCUACCAUAAGGUUUUUGUGAAU